GGAAACGUGCCUGAUACUAAGGGUUGCCUUGAUGCGGCAAACAUAGAGACUUUAAACCUCUCGUCUCCC
rnacentral:tRNA from 1 species